rnacentral:rRNA from 1 species
ACUACGGGAGGCAGCAGUAGGGAAUCUUCCACAAUGGACGAAAGUCUGAUGGAGCAACGCCGCGUGAGUGAAGAAGGGUUUCGGCUCGUAAAGCCCUGUUGGUAGUGAAGAAAGAUAGAGGAAGUAACUGGCCUUUAUUUGACGGCAAUUACUGAGCAAGUCACGGAUACCUACGUGCCAGCAGCCGCGGUAAAAAGUAGGGGGCAAGAUUUGGCCGGAUUUAUUGGGCGUAAAGCGAGUGCAGGCGGUUCAAUAAGUCUGAUGUGAAAGCCUUCAGCUCAACCGGAGAAUUGCAUAAGAAACUGUUGAACUGGAGUGCAGAAGAGGAUGGUGGAACUCUAGGUGUAGCGGUGGAAUGCGUAGAGAUAUAGAAGAACACCAGUGGCGAAGGCGGCUCUCUGGUCUGCAACUGACGCUGAGGCUCGAAAGCGUGGGUAGCGAACAGGAUUAGAUACCCCUGUAGUC